rnacentral:SRP_RNA from 1 species
GCCGGACACAGAGGAGCGUGUCUGUAGUCCCAGCUACUCAGGAGGCUGAGGUGGGAGGAUCACUUGAGCCCAGGAGUUCUGGGCUGUAGUGCACUAAGCUGAUCAGGUGUCCACACUAAAUUCAGCAUCAAUAUGGUGACCUCCCAGGAGCAGGGGAUCACCAGGUUGCCUAAGGAAUGGUGAACCAAUCCAGGUCAGAAACGGAGCAGGUCAAAACUCCCGUGCUGAUCAGUAGUGGGACUGCGUCUGUGAAUAGCCACUGCACUCCACCCUGGGCAACAUAGUGAGAUCCAAUCUCU